rnacentral:misc_RNA from 1 species
AACGCACAUUGCGCCCCUCGGUAUUCCGGGGGGCAUGCCUGUUCGAGCGUCAUUGCACCCCUCAAGCGCAGCUUGGUAUUGGGCUUCGCCCCCGCGGCGUGCCCGAAAAUCAGUGGCGGUCCGGAGUGACUUUAAGCGUAUUAAAUUAAUCCCGCUUUGAAAGUUUGCCCCGCGGUCGGCCAAAUGACCCCCCAAUUUUCAAUGAUUGACCUCGGAUCAGGUCGGGAUACCCGCUGAACUUAA